GCCUCUUUAGCUCAGUUGGUAGAGCAACGCAUUCGUAACGCGUAGGUCGUGGGUUCAAGUCCCAUGAGAGGCU
rnacentral:tRNA from 1 species